GCGCGAAAUCUUUACAAUGCACGAAAGUGUGAUAGGGAGACUCAAAGUGCUCAUGUUAUACAUGGGCUUUUGCCAAGUCAAAAUUGCUUGGCGAAUAAGUGGUGGGCAAGACUGGUGCCAGCCGCCGCGGUAACACCAGCGCCACAAGUGGGGACCGAUAUUAUUUGGCCUAAAGCGUCCGUAGCAGGCUUACUAAAUUACUUGUGAAAUCGGAUGGCUCAACCAUUCGGAUUGCAGGUAACACUGGUAAGCUAGAGACCGGGAGACGUUGAAGGUAUUCAGAGGGGAGCGGUAAAAUGCGAGAAUCCUCUGAGGACCACCUGUUGCGAAAGCGUUCAACAAUAACGGGUCUGACUGUGAGGGUCGAAAGCUAGGGGAGCGAACCGG
rnacentral:rRNA from 1 species